GAUGAAGAACGCAGCGAAACGCGAUAGUUAAUGUGAAUUGCAGAAUUCAGUGAAUCAUCGAGUCUUUGAACGCACAUUGCGCCCCUCGGUAUUCCGGAGGGCAUGUCUGUUUGAGCGUCAUUUCAACACCCUCGCUUUAAGCGGUAUUGAGGCGUGGAAUCCAUAUCAAUGGAACCAAGCUUUUAAAGUUGAAGGCAAGCAGAACGAAUGUCUUGAACAAAACAUAGUAAAAUCUUCACGGUUUCUCCUGUUUGUCCUCGAUGUUACGUCUCGCCCAAACAAAUUUUUUUUUAGUUUUGACCUCAGAUCAGACAAGGAUACCCGCUGAACUUAAGCAUAUCAAUAAGCGGAGGA
rnacentral:misc_RNA from 1 species